rnacentral:rRNA from 1 species
AUGUGUGUUCCAAAAGGCCAAGGAGGAAUGGGAUUCUGGGAUAUACACUGUUUUAAUCUGGCAUUGUUAGCCAAACAAGGUUGGCAUCUCUUGGAUAAUCCUGAAUCGCUAUGUGCCACGAUCUUAACAGCCAAAUAUUUUCUGGAGGGUGAUUUGAUGAGUGCAGUUUAAAAAAAGGGUUCCUCCUUUACUUGGCAAAGUAUUAUGGCGGGAGUAGACUCUCUGAGAAAUGGUUAUAUAUGGAGGGUUGGAACUGGACAAAAUAUGAAUAUAUGGAGAGAUGCAUGGAUCCAGAACUGUGCAAAUAGAAGAAUUAUUACUCCUAGGAGAGGGAAUCUCUUGACGAAAGUCUCCGAUCUUAUUGAUCCAAUCACGAAUUUUUGGGAUGAAUAUUUGGUGAGACCAAAAUUGUGGCCAAUUGAUGCUCGAAGAGUCCUGGCGAUUCCUCUCCCUAUGCAUAAUAUGCCGAAUUUCAUUGCUUGGAGCUAUACAAAAAAUGGUGUGUUCACUAUACGGCCAACUUAUUUGGAGGAAUGGAAUAAACAACACGGGAGGAAAUUGGAAUACACAAAUGGCAUGAGUAGAAGCAAGGUCAAUCCUAUUUGGGGUAAGAUUUGGAAAUUAGCGUGUCCGGCAAAGGAGAAUUUUUUUAUCCGGCAUACGCUUCAUGGGACUCGGUCGUACUGUGUUACAUUGGCCAAUAGACACAUAAAAACUCUGCCCAUUUUCCCAACUUGCACGAAUGGGCCAGAGGACACUAAACACAUGUUGUUGAAAGGAUCGAGAAGAUGGUUCUAG